ACAUAGUUCUCUGUGAUGAAACACACAUAGUGACGGAUGUGUCACGUACCAUAGAUGAGGACUUUCACCCUUUGGAGCUUCACGACACUACACCACUCAUACAAGCAUCACAACUACUGUACACUGAGCAAAAUGCAGUUUGUUGGGUCUGAGAAGAAGGAGGAAGAACUGUAUCAAAGAGGGUAAGCUUGUGAUACUGUGUACAGGACAACAGUCUUUGGUAUGUCUCUCCCUGACAUUGUCUCUCCCCAUGAAACUGUAUCUAUCUCCCACCCCCUCUCUCUCUUUCCCCUGAAACUCUCUCCCCAUGUUACUCUCUCUCUAUCCCCCUCUCAUCUUUCUCUAUGACACAACCUCUCUCGCUCCUGCCUCUUUUAUUACAUGAAACCCUCUCUCUCUCUCUCUCUCCCUCCCUGACCCUUCUCAACCCCUCUCUCUCUUUCUUGUUCCUCUCUCUCUCUCUCUCUCUCUCUCUCUCUCUCCUGCUCCUGUAUGUGACAUGUUGUGAACAUACAGUACAGUACUGUACAAAUAAUAAUUAUUUUAUCUUCUUCCCACCAUGCACUGAACUACUGUACAUUGAGCAAAAUUCAUGAAAGUGAGAGGAAUAAAUUGGCAAUGCACACCUCCAAAUACAUUGGCAACACACCCCACCAGAAUCACCGGACAUGAAUCCUAUAGAAAUGGUCUGGGCACAGCAGGUGUGAUGUGAAACCAAACAAAAAAAACAAGAACUUUUGGUUGGGAUAAAGAAGUUUUGGGUAGAAGUACUGACACCUGCCAAGUGUAAUAAUUCCAUAAACCUCCUGGACAGAGUCUUGCCUGUCGUCAUUGAACGAAAUGGUCAUGCCACUGAUAUGCAGUUUCUCCAGUGCCUCCAGUACCUCUCACUUAACUCAAUGAGCCCUUCGCUGUCCACCUCACAACACAUCUCCCUCCCUUCAGUGUCGACAUCACAUACUGUAAAUUCCUCCCUGCAGUACCUUAAAUAUCCAUCUCUCAGCACUCUGUACAGUACAGUACUUCACUGAGAAGGGUCUGAGAAGAAGGAAGAAGAACUGCAUCAAAGAAGGUAAGCCUGUGAUAUUACUGUAUAUAGUACAACGGUCUUUGGUAUCUCUCUACCUGACAUUGUCACUCCCCUGAAACUCUCUCCCACCAUCUCUCUCUCUCUUUCCCCUGAAACUGUAUCUCUCUCCAACCCCCUCUCUCCCCAUGUUACUCUCUCUCUCUCUCACCCCUCUCAUCUUUAUCCAUGACACCAUCUCUCUCGCUCCUGCCAAAUUUAUUACAACAAACCCUCUCCCUCUCGCUCUCCCUGCCCCUUCUCAAUCCCUCCCUCUCUUUCUUGUUCCUCUCUCUCCUGCAUGGGAUUUGAUAUUGACACCAGCAGGGUGUGCUUUCAAGGUUUUGCUAUGGGACCCUCAAAGUUCUACUUUCGAACCUGCAUAACAGUACUCAAUGUCAGAGAUAUACAGUACUGUAUACUGUACUGUACUAUAGGCUGUUCUUAAAUGCCAGAUUUUGAGAAACACUUUGUUAAGCAUUGUUGGGACAUGUUGUGAACAUACGAAUACUAAUACUGGACUAAUAAUACAUAUUUUUCUAUCUUCUUCCCACCAUGCACUGAACUACUGUAUAUUGAGCAAAAUGCAAAAUUCAUGAAAGAGAGGAAUAAAGUGGCACCACACACUGCCAAAAACAGUACAUUGGCAACGCACACCGCCAGAUGUACUGUAGAUCACCAGACAGGAAUCCUAUUGAAUUGGUCUGGGCACAGUUGAAGAGGUACUGUGAUGUGAAACCAAAAAAUAAACAAAAACUUUUGGCUGGGAUAAAGAUGUUUUGGGUAGAAGUAUUGCACCUGCCUUGGGUAAUAAUUAAACCAUCUGGACAGAGUCUUGCCUGUCGUCAUUGAACAAAAUGGUCAUGCCACUGCUACAGUAUGUAGCUUCUCCAGUACUACAGUUUAUACUGUACCUUUAAAACUGAGCCCCUCGCAGCAGUUUCUUACUGUAUACUGUACCUCUCACUUCACUCAAUGUCCCCUUCACUGUUCACCUCACAACACCUCUCCCUUAUCUCAAUAUCUACUGUACCUCACAGCACUAACUGUACCUCACAGCACUACACAGGAGAAAAUGUACAGCAAAAUGUCCAUUGCAUACUCCACCAUGUCCCAGUACUGUACUUUACUGUACUGGAUAUCCAUAAUUGAAACUUGUACAUUAAUGUACUGUACUGUAUGUUAUGAUAAAAAAAAGUACAAUAUUUUUAGGCAAUACUGUGUUUUAUAAAUAAAGUACUAUAUAUUUUCCAAAAUGUCCACUGUACUGUAUAC